UGGGAAAAGGGCUGUCAGGGGAGCGAGGU
rnacentral:piRNA from 1 species